GACGGAGCAGGCAAGCGUUGUUCGGAAUCACUGGGCUUAAAGCGCGUGUAGGCGUCCGGCCAGUACUGUGUGAAAGCCCUCGGCUCAACCGAGGAACCGCCUGGUAUACUGCCGGACUUGAGGCGGGUAGGGGUGCCUGGAACUCUAGGUGGAGCGGUGAAAUGCGUAGAUAUCUAGAGGAACGCCAGUGGCGAAAGCGGGGCACUGGGCCCGUCCUGACGCUGAGGCGCGAAAGCGUAGGUAGCGAACGGGAUUAGAUACCCCCGUA
rnacentral:rRNA from 1 species